ensembl:lncRNA
UAUGCUUAAGGCUAUCAUAUUAUCAAAACCCACCCAAUCUAGCUGAUUGUCAUAAGCCACACUCAGGGUCCAUGUUCAAGAUGUAAUAUUGACUGCAACUUCUGUUUAUUGUCAAAUCAAAUGUGCUAACCAUGUGCUCUCCUUGACGCCUUUCUGUUUGUUUCUUUGUUCAUUCUUUAUCAAAUUUAACCAACUCAUGGCUCAACGAAGGUGUGUGACAACUGCAAAAGGUUGUUAAAUUAUGCUUCUAAAAUAUGUGAGACCUGCAAAACCGUGCAGCCUUUCAAGAAAAACCACAAAUGACAAAAUAAGGCAAUGGACAAGACACUGAUAGAGUGGACAAGACCGACCAUCCUUUAAAACAACGUUGCCAGGUUCCUGGACUCACUUUUCAUAAUGCUCCGGAAAGUGCAUGUUCUGGGCUUUAGGUCCGUCCUCAUAGGGAAGCAGUCCCGUGGAGGCUGCUGGGAAGUAGAAAUCAUGAUGCCCACCAACCCUCGGCCAGGUCUGGAGGAGGACUGCCUCCAGGAGCUGCUCAAAUACUAUGAAUCUUUACUGAAGCAUAUCCCUGUCAACCAGCCCCCCACCAACUCCACAGAAGCCACCAGUGGUAGUCUCCUGGAAGGACAAGAGGGAGAAGAGGGUGACGUUAGCACUGGGGAAGGAGUGGACGAAAGGGCUGCAGAUGUGUAAUCAAAUCAAAUCAGAAGACGAUGGAGAUGAAGAGGACAUGGAACCUGACUACCAGCCACCUGCCAAGAAGACAAAGUAUUAUCAGAAGAGGGUGCUGAUAUCAGAUCUACCUGAAGAGACCCAGAGACAGCAGAGGGAGGCUUGGAGAGAAGCAUCCAGACGCCGUCGUGCCCGCAAAAUGUCCUCCCUUCAGACGAACCCCAAACAGCUCUGCCACCCCCCCCAGAACACAGACACCUGGGGGGACUAGGGGACGACGCAGGGGUGGCAAGUUUGGAUAGCUACUGGACAGUCUUCUUUUGACAUUCCAUACAGACCACUUACUUAAAAUGAGAUGUUGAGCAUGGCCGGUAACAAACGGUUUCAGGACUGAAUAGAUACCUGGUUCAUCUCUGUAAUUGAUGUCAUUGAGCCUAUCAACAGGAGGCACUGUUUGUGCAUGUUCAGGAGUUUCCUGACAGGUUGAACUUACAGGUGUACCUUCUCAUCAUCC